UGUGCGAUACCGAUCCUGCGUGCUGUUGCUAUGGUUACCGCCUCAGGCUAGCGCUCUAACUUUUUUUUUUCCUUUUUUUAAUUUUUAUUUUUAUUUUUAUUUUUUAUAGCUAUUUAGGAAAAUAACCCCUAACCUUUUUCUUUUUUGACUUGAAAAUUAUGACAGGAAAUAUAAAUUAAUUCCAGCCAAGUGUGUUUAUCCUUACUGCAGUUUACUGCAAAUAUUUUUUUUUAUUAAUCUCAUAACCAUUCAGUAUCAAUUUUGAGUAAAAUCUCAGUUUUUAAAAAAAAAAAUAUAUAUAUAAAAAACAAACAAAAACAAACAAACAAACAAAAAAACAUUAAAAGCCCAUUCACUCCAAAAGGCACAAACUCUAGGAGAACAUGAACACGAACAUGAAUUGUAUAAGAAACAAAGGUGCUUCGUUGCAGUUUGUACCGUGGAGAGCAAAACAAGCACGUAUUUACGCAUUUAUCGCGCACUCACGAGUAGCUAUUCUAGUAAGUUGCUCUCUUUGUUGUUAUUUAGUUGUAUGUAGAGGGCGGGACUCGAACUGAAAUGAACAAGGCGCGGCCAAGAACCCCUUCACACGUGUAGACAAAGGGACCCAUCAACACAACCCAAAUAUGCAUUCGAAAAGUUUUUUUCCGCGCACGCGACUUCACGCCAAGACUUCGCAAAACGCUCAGGCCACUACACAUAAGCAUCGGAACUAUGAGUACUGGAUAACUUCUUCCAACGGACGCCCUUUUAAGGAUUUAUUUAUUUAUUUAUUUAUUUAUUUGCUGUGGGAUAUUACUUUCCUCCGGGAUUACUGGAGGAUUAUUCAUAAUGAGAACGAUUACUUUCCACAUCUUGACACAAUGUAUGAACUUAAGUGUUUGAUCUGCGGCACUCGUCACUCUUUCUCUUGAGGAGGAUUCAUUAGCCACACGGUAUUAGUCAACGGACUCCUACAUCAGCACUUUGACAGCCGGGAAUUGCUGAAAUAUGACGGAAAAGGAGUUAAGGAUGAUAGAGCCAUCCUCAUGUGUGGGACAGACAUGCUGACGGAGAUCCUCAGAACACACUGUGUCCGAAGCUUUUUUGAGUGCAAUAUUGGAUUGAGGCGGAUUGAUUUAGAAGAAUCGAAAAUAGAUUUUGAAUUGAAUUAGAGGAUUUACAGGCCUUCAGUGCUGUUCUGUAGAAGCGACCUCUCUGCAUUGAUUUGCAGAGUCACCAGGUUGAUGAAAAACAGGUGCACCUGUUCAUCUGUCGUCAGUAUUCAAGUGUGGUCUCCACUGUCUGUUUUCCAUCCACACUUACUCUAACAGCAGACCACUCGGCCAAGGACAGCAACUAUUUGGAGCAGCCCUCUAUGCUGCCGGACAAUAAAGGCCUCACGCAGUGGCAGUGUGUCUCCGAGAUGCAUCGAUGAGCAUCAGUGAUGCAGUGGACAACUGUGAGGAUGAUCACAUCCACAUGCCCCCGAACUCUGAUGCAGAAACAACUCAAACUGAAGCCACCUACAUCUGAUAUGAGAACACAAUGCGUUGAGCCGGCGCCAUUGUACACAACUCUGCUGAGAAACAACCACCAUUCAUUCAGUCGCUGAGCAUCUUACCAAUACAUACACCAACAGCUGCCAGCUACACACUUGGGAUCAGCUCCUGAUGACUCUGAUGAAGCUGCGCUUAAUUUAUUGCAGGGGGAUCUUGCUGAAAGUUUUGGUGUUUCAAAACCUGGUGUUGUGAUAAAUUCAAAACUGUAAAUUCAGGGUUCCUGGAAUACCUUCAUCCAGGCGAUGAAGUAAGACAGAGGCUUCAGCAUUACCGAUCUCCUCUAUGAAAUGAAGGUGAAACUUGUCAUUCCAGCAUUCACCAAGAGAGGCAUGCAACUCUCCAAAGAAGACACCACCAACACUAGGCGCAUCGCCAAUAUCGGACCAGCUGCGGUGUUGACGAGAGGAACAGGAUGAUUUGCUUGGAUUUGUGAAUAGUUUUCCACUGUGUAGGAGAAUUUGGGAAGAUCACAAGUAACUGUGCUGAUGGGAUGUGUGUGAAUCAGAAUCACCAGCCGCCUGUCCAGGUGCUGAAUUACAGUAUGCCUCAUCUGUGGGAGUGCGGGUCAUCACAUAAUUUAAACUGCUUUUUGGUGCCUGGCUCAGAAUGAACAUUCAUCACUGGUGGGCAGGACACAGCGAGAAACUGUAAACGGCCAAAGUUCACGCUGAAAGGAAUGCUGAACUCCUCAAGAGGAGCCCAAGAAAUCCAGCAUCAGCACAGAGGAGCCGGAGGAGCCUCAUCGCCUCUCUACUCUGCUCCAGCCCAAGAGGCCCAUAAACAAUAGCCUCUCCUCACUGGAAGUCUUCACAGCGGCCCGGGCCGGAUCCCAGCAACUACAUUACUAUUCCAGUUGCCACAGGGUGUUGAGCCGCGGCGAACUGCGACCCCUGGCCUUAUUUUCAAAGCUGAUCUCUGAACCCUAUUGUGGCUCAGCGAUUCACUGUGAAUCUAGACGUGCAGAGAGGGGAGCAGGUUUCUUGCAUGGAUCUCCACACAUGUGGUUUGAGUCACGCUGAGCGCAGACUUUUCGUGAGUCUCUACCUGCAUGGAAAGUUGGAGAAAUGGACCUCCAUGUUUGUCUCUCUCACAGUCAUUCAUUGCUGAGGAGAAAGACAUCUAGAUACCAUCAGCAUCACAUCAAAAGUGCAUGCGGGCACAAUUUUCCAUUUCUGUCUGAAAAAGUAAAGUCCUCACUGGGUCACCUGUCUGUCGGAUUUGACUAAAGCCACCGUGAUCUCACACGUCUGUGUCCCUGUAAAGUGUUGACGAGGCCUGCUUCUCCCCGUGAGUCUGCGCUCCAGACCAUCUGCCUGCCUGUCUGCCCGCAUGUGUCUCAGCUGAAUGCAUGCUGGGAGCAAGUGGGCGGAGCAUCGUUGAGCAUGACUGCGUGUUUGUGGCUGCUGUGCCUCAAACGAGUGUUCAACCACGGCUAUUUUUCUAUAUUUCUUUCUUUGAGUGUUAAAUCUAGUUUUAAUUUAUUGUUAAAGCUAGAUUUUUGGGCCGUGUGCUGCCUGCCUGUGUUUGGCCAGAGAAGAACUGGACCCCUGACUGAGCCUGGUUUCUCCCAAGGUUUUUUUUCUUCAUUUUUGUCACCUGAUGGAGUUUGGGUUUCUUGCCACACUUACUUAGUUGGGGACACUUAAUACUCAACAAUAUUAUUGAUUUGAUGACACUAUUGAUGAGAACUGAACUGAGCUGGACGAUGACAUCACUGUUUUCUAAAGACCUGCUUUAUAGAUGAAAUGAACUAAUUUAUUGAUGAUAUUUACGACGGAACUGAAUCAACACUGAACUACCUUCACCUGAACAAAGACACUAUUUUCUUUUAGAGCUGCUAUACAACUGAAAUGUACUCUAUUUGCAUCAUUGAAUCACUUUCCUACAUCACUGUAAAGCUUUUUUGAAACAGUCUGUAUUGUAUAAAGCGUUAUAUAAAUAAAGGUAAAUUGACUUUGGGGAAGCAUGAUGGCUCUCUGGCUUUGAGUUCACUCAUGUUGAUGGUUUACCUAUUCUCCCUUGUUAAUUAAAACAUUGUUUCAUUUAGAAUAUUUGCUUACAUGAUUGUAAAAUAUUACACUGAGUUUGGCCUAAUGUUUAAAUUUCAUAUUGAUGACUUUGACUAUGUUGUAUUUGCAAUAACUGAGAAAAUGAAGUGUUUUGGCUGCUGUAAAGUGCGGCAUUUAGUCCAUGAUUGUCCUGAAAAGAAAGAAACACCAAAUACUGCGCCAAAAACAAACGGCACAAUGUCCACCAGCGGCAAAUUGGCCCAAGUUAAACAUGGAUAAAAUGGAUAAAGAGGCAAAGCUGAUAGUGCAGCAGGGGCGAUUCUACCGGGGUGGCACAGGGUGAAAAAGCAUUGAUGUAAGAAAUCUGAAGUAUAAAAGUUUUUUUUUUUUUUUUUUUUUUUUCCAGAUGUUAACAAGUUAUUAUUUUCAGUAAGCAGUAAGUUCUUAAUCCUGUUCUUAGGUUUUGAUGAACUUAGCAGAAGGAAAAGUUUCAGACUAAAGAAAAGUCUAACAAAAUUAAGGAGAGGAAAAUGUCAGACUAGGACUAACUAAGCCUGUUUAAUGUCACAAAGGGUGAAUCUUCUCUUCUAUCUUAAAUUGGUUCUCUUUUCUGUCUUCCUAUUUUUUUCCCCCCUCUUUACAUGGAGAGCUUAAAAAUGGGAACUAUAGAAAGAGGUAGGGGUUUAGUUGUUCACGUUGGGCUUAUUGUUUGUGUUUAUUAAUAUAUAUGCCCCAAAUAAUGGAGCAGAUUGAAUAUGUUUUUUUAAGAAAGUGAAUGAUGGUUUAAAAUGUUUUGAUAAGAAUGUAUAUCUGGUUUUAGGUGCUGAUUGGAAUUGCGAGGAAUUGAGAGGAAACUUGGCCUCCUUCAGAGAUCAGAGAUGUAAACAAUGCUGGUGGAGCCCAAGGCGAAGAUGGAGAGCAGAUGGAACCAACAACACAGAUAGCUUAGGAGACCAAUGCGAAGCCGCAGCGAUGAGUGUCCGAGGUGGAGCCAGGGUGCCAAAGAACUAAGGCCCAGCAGGUGAGACUGAGGACCAAGGUGGAGCCAGAGGGAAAGCAAAGCCAAAGGAGUGGAGGGACGAAGUAUAGUUGAAGGCCCAUAAGUCUGUGGCACAGGCAGGGUGAUGUAUGACUAAGCUGGAGCCGGAGGGAAGAAGGAGCUCGGUGAAGCCAUAAGAACGAUGGUCUCAGUUGGAGCCGAGGGAGGGAGGAGCCAAGGCAGAGGCGACUGGUUGACGGGCCGAGGUGGAGUGACUGGAUCAGUGGCUGGAGACGGAGCUGGGGAUCCUCUUUAUUAGGCAGAGCUGGAGUCUGGAAGACCAGAAGCAAUUCCACACCAUAGAGUUGCGUCAGGAAAGGUGGUGAGGCAUACCAAGUCUAGGAAAUUCCUUGUGUCAUCCUCGAUGCUUUGCUCUCUCUGUUCCCAGCAGAGCAGCUGGACUGCUGGCAAGUCCAUGUGUCUUUACUCAAUUUGAGGGUCUGGUAUUUUGCACGCAUGGGUGGAGUAUCCAACAAACAAACAAAAGGAGUAUCCAAAAUUAACAGUCUUUGUUUAAUCCACAAAAGAAAACAAAGAAGAUGGCAAGAGAUAUACACAUAACCACGUUAAACUAAGACGAUACCAGACAAUGAAACAGAGGAAACUUGAAAAGCUUAAAUACACAGAGAAUGACUGAAACAAAACAAGUGUUAACUAAUUAAGAACCAGGGAGACUAAUAAUGAUCAGGAACACUUGCAAAAUGGUAACAGAGAAAACGAAACUAAAAUACAACAAAAUUAAGCAGACUUAAAUAUAACCCUGACUGUAAGAGAGUUGGAAAGAAAAAAAAGAAGGCUUUAGGAACUCUUCUUCAUGAACAUGCAAAAUGGGCUUUUAAUUAGAGCUCUUUUUUUCUUCAUUGAAAGACAAUGGUUGUUCUUUCUUUUUCAAUUUAGAAAGAAAAGAAAUUAAAAGUAAACAGAUUUACACCUGAAACAUGUUAAUGGAUAUUUAACAUCUGAUCCAAAUGAAAUGAGGAUGCUUGCAAUGGACUUUUAUAAGGAAUUGUUUGGAGCACGAAGGUGUGAUGUCUCAAGUUUGGACUUUUUACUCAAAGACAUGCCUAGACUGAAUACUGAACAGCAAAAAAAAAGUUCUGACACAAGAACUGUCAAAAGCAGUUCAGCAACUUUCUGUUGAUCGGGCUCCUGGUAUUGAUGGACUUGGUAAUUUUUAAAAGCAUCUUUUGAAAAGAAGGAAUUACCAACUAGUUGCAAAAGAGAUGUACUUUCAUUACUACCACAGAAAGGUGACCUUGGUCUUUUAAAAAACUGGAGAACAGUGGCACUAUUAUGUACAGACUAAAAAAUUCUUGAAAAGUGGUUUUCAAAUAGACAAAAAAAAAAAAAAAAAAAAAAAAAAAAAACCUUGGAUUUAUGCAACAAAGAAAUGAGACUUAUUUGUAUACCAAACAUAAUUAUAAUGGAUAACCUUUUUCUUUUUAGAGAUGUGAUUGAUUUGACGUACAUGUACAAUCAAGAUUUACACAUAUUUUCUAGCCUGAGUGACCCCUGCUGGCAUUAUAUGUGCCCUGUCAAAAAAAAGUGAGUGAAACAUUGCUGUGUGUGUGUGUGGAAGCCCAAAGUUUCUGAAGUGCAGAGGGAAUGUACUGUAUGAUCAUUGAGUUAUACUAUUUAAUGUCACUUUUUGAAUCAUACGCUCUGUGCUGUGAACAUCAUAAUGUGUUAAAAAAAAAAAAAAAAUGACACUGACAGCAAGAGAAUGUUGACAAAGAGACAGAGAAACAGACAGAGACUAGGAACUGUUCUCAUGUGCUGUCACUGUAAAGGACAUUUUUUUCUGGUGGAAGAAAGUGAAUGAUUUUACUUUAAAAAAAGUUAUAUGUUAAUACAUAUAUUUUUUUCUUUAAUAUUUGUAUUGUGGAGUAAUCAUUUAAUAAAAGCAAUAAGGCACUUGAGGUGUGCUGUAUUGUGAAUAUAGUCACUACUAAAGAGGUUGAAAGCACUCGGCUAAUGAUCAGUCAUCUUCGCACAGCCUCUUGUACCUUAUUGUAACUUUCUUUUUCUUUUUUUCUUUUUUUUCAGUUUUUUAUGAUUGCAAUCAUGCAGAAUGGGGUCCUCCACCAGCAUGCCAACUGUAGCGUCUGUUCAAAAUCGAAUCUGCACAUCAACUUCAGAUUCUUCAGAAUGCUUUUAGCCUCCUGAACUGUGCGUGUAAAUCAUGAAUCGGCUUCGGCAAGUCCGGGACCAAUUGCCCCAUUGGCACCUUUGUUACCCCAGUAAAGAAAAACAGAACAUAUUCUCACCAGCUCCAGGGACUUCAAAGAGUCACCCUGGUGGGGCUAAGGGCUAUGUGGUCACAGACACCGGCCACAACCCCAAUACACACACACACACACAUACAGACACUCACAAACACGCGUGGAGAUUGUGAAUGUACAUUUAUCCUCCGAAUAUGACUGUGCCAAAGUGUACCCGUCGCUGUAUUUAAAGGUGCAUGUAUUUAUCCCUAGUAUAUAAGCUUAGCUAUGACUGUAGUUGUAUUAGUUUUAUUCUAAACGAUAAAACUCAAGUAUAAACUGUAUCUCCACUUUUAUGUCUUUGCCAUCUGACAAGUUAGGUCUCAUUGUAAAGCUUUCGUUAUGCCCUAAUUGAAAAUGUAUGUCACAUGACUGUAAAAUGCAUUCUUUUAUUUUUAAUGGUACUUUGAAGAAAAUGUACUCAGAUCUGACACUUCAUAAACCAUGCAAAUUAGGUCAUAAAUGGAGACAAAGAAAAAGUUUGCCCGCCAAAAUCGCACCCUCAUCAUUGGCUGAUGUACCCAAGGAGGCGUUCUGGUCUGUUGUCCUUAAAACACAAUGACACGCGUCUCUCGAUUGUCUCUCGAUUGUCCCUCGCCAUUUCACGCACGUCUCUCCCGGACGUCUCGGCGACCGCGCUUCCAUCAGCGCUUUUUUUUUUUGCUCAUUCAACAAAACCCAGGUCACUUUAACGUUUCGAUCCAGUGUCCUUGCUUUACGCAUUGAUGCUAGAAUAGGAAGUCUUUCUCGUGGCCAGAGAAAAACCUUCCUUUUAUAAUAGUCUAUGAGGAGCUAACGGUUUGCUGGACAAACUAAUAGUUUCUCUAAAUUAUUACUAAACCAGAACUAAUCAUAUAUGUAAUUGAUUAUAAUUCGUUGUAAUUAAUUCACAAUAUAUGUAUAAUUCCCUCUUGGGUCGGUGUAUGUAUUAUAAUUAAUCAUAAAGCUUUAUGAUUUAUUAUAUUCAUAUAUUUCACCCAUAAAUUAAUUAAAUACCUGUACAAUUUCGCUACACAACUUAGGCCCUUACAACACGGCCCACAUAUUCACAUUUUAGAAAGACUACACAAAAUCGUCACAGCAGAAGACCAAAUGGAUGCAGAGCAGAUGAGAUACAUUGUCAUAUGGGACAAUGUAAAUUUCCACCUAUCUGCUCUGGUCCAAAACUGGUUUCGUUAGCGUCCACAAUUUUCACUCCAAUACAUCCCACCAUACUGUCCCUUCCUUAAACCCAUUUAAACCCAUUGAGGAGGGUUUUUUUGGCAUGGAAGGUUUACAAUCUCCAGCCCUAUGUCAGGAUAUCCCUCAUUCAAGCCAUGGAGAAGGCCUGACCUAAUUGAUGCAGGGUCUGUGCAAGGAUGGAUUCGCCAUUCAAGAAGAUUCUUCCCUUGCUGUCUUGCAUGAGAGGACAUUGCCUGUGAUGUGGAUGAAGUGCUAUGGCCAGUUCCAGCUAGGCCAAGAGAUGAUGCUUAGGUGUUUUUUCUUAUUUUUUAUUUUUUUCACUUAAAAUCAUGCUUUUGUUUUGUCUCCACAAAUGUUUUUGUUCGUGUAAUACAUUGUAUUUAGAAUAUGUUCUGAUUUUCAGUGCAAAAUCAAAAUGUAACCUUUGGAAAGGCAUGGAUGUAUUGAAUGGUUUUACAAUGUGGUGAGAAAUAAAUAUUUUCAUCAAUGUGCAAUACUGAUCUUGUGUUUUUUUUUUUUUGUUUUUUUUUUUUUGUCAAUAUAUUCAUGUACUUUACUCUAACAAUAUCUCUAAAAAAAUCAAACCCAGACUAUAUCAUUAGAAAAGUAUAGAAGUUACAAGUGUUUAAGAUUGAGCACAGCAGUGUGUAAAUGAAUCAAACAAAAUCAGAAUGUAUGAACCAUGUGUGUUCCAUAUGGUGUCAAAGUUGGGUUUUGUUAAAUUAAUGUAAAGUUUGAAGUGUUUAAUGUUUUCUGCUACUUGUGUGUGUGGAUCUCCUUGUUUUUAAAAUUGUGCUUAAGCAAUCGUAAAAAAACUGUAAUCUGGGAGCUUGAUUCCCCAUUCACUUUAAUUAAAAAAUCAAAAAAAAAACAA